rnacentral:lncRNA from 1 species
UUUUGUAGUUAAUCAUCUAUUUCUUCUGGUUUUAUAUAUGAGAUCAGAAAAGAAAAUGAUUUCAAGGCCUAGAUACUGAUCUUGUAUUUAAAGCUAACUCACUUAAAAUCUUCACACCUGUAUUAGGAAAUGGCAAAGCCAAGAAUUCUCAGAACUAAAUAUGUAUACACAGAAGUAAACACAUUGAGGCUGGAUCAAGAGAUUCUUCCAUGGGUGUUCGCCUGCCAGAUUAAUUGUUCUCGAAGCCAGGGAUAUAGCCACUUUUGUGCUCACUCGUAUAUGACCAGGGCUCCGGUUCUCAAAUCAGAGUCAUUGUUUCCACCCCACAGACAACACAAACAAUAG